CAACAGAAGGCAGGAUCAGUGCUGACCUACGCCAUGGCCUGGUCCCCUCUCCUCCUCACCUUCCUCGCUCACUGCACAGGGUCGUGGGCUCAGUCGGGGCCGAAUCAACCAUCCUCAGUGUCUGGGGCCCUGGGCCAGAGGGUCACUAUCUCCUGCACUGGAGUUGGUAGUUACGUGGGUUGGUACCAACAAAUCCCAGGAAUGGCCCCCAAAACUAUCAUCUAUGAUAAUAGCAACCGACCCUCAGGGGUCCCUGAUCGAUUCUCCGGCUCCAAGUCUGGCAGCACAGGCACUCUGACCAUCACUGGGCUCCAGGCCGAAGACGAGGCUGAUUAUUACUGCUCAUCGUGGGACAGCAGUGGCAGUGUUCACACAGUGGUCCAGGCCUGUGGGGAAGUGAGACAAAAACCUAGUUACUCAUCUGUAAAGAGGGAAACACAUCAGCAGUUGCCUCCUGACUUAGCCUGUGAUUCUGCUCAUUCCGUGGCUGAUGACUUGGACGCAGGUCCAUGCAAGGGCACCUCCCAUGAGUGAGGUUCCUCCUGUCCUUUCUGUCCUCAAAGUCACGCUCAGAAAACCCUUCCAACACAGAGUCUUGAUGGAAGACAAAUCUCUUGUUUUAUCAGCUGAGGUAUUUUACUUCUAGGCCAGAUCAUAUCAAUUUUUCCUUCUGAUAUAAAAAUAAAUGAAGCAUUUUUAUUCUUUCUCUGAA